rnacentral:rRNA from 1 species
AGUGAACGCUGGCGGCGUGCCUAAUACAUGCAAGUCGAACGGAGUGGCGCACGGGUGUGUAAUAUAUAGUUAAUCUGCCCCUCGCUGGAGGACAACAGCUAGAAACGACUGCUAAUACUCCAUAGCAAGGGAUGAGACUAUAUCGUACCAGCUAGUCGGUGGGGUAACGGCCUACCGAGGCUAUGACACGUAACUGGUCUGAGAGGAUGAUCAGUCACAGUGGAACUGAGACACGGUCAGAACUCCUACGAGAGGGAGCAGUAGGGAAUAUAGCGCAAUGGGGGAGAGCCUGAAGCAUCAACGCAGCGUAGAGGUUGACACUUUGCGGAGCGAAAACUCAUAAUGUUAUGGAGGCGGUACCUAACGAAUAAGCAACGGCUAACUCCGUGCCAGCAGCCGCGGUAAUAC